rnacentral:rRNA from 1 species
GACGAACGCUGGCGGCGUGCUUAACACAUGCGAGUCGAACGGAAAGGCCCUGCUUUUGUGGGGUGCUCGAGUGGCGAACGGGUGAGUAACACGUGAGUAACCUGCCCUUGACUUUGGGAUAACUUCAGGAAACUGGGGCUAAUACCGGAUAGGAGCUCCUGCUGCAUGGUGGGGGUUGGAAAGUUUCGGCGGUUGGGGAUGGACUCGCGGCUUAUCAGCUUGUUGGUGGGGUAGUGGCUUACCAAGGCCUUGACGGGUAGCCGGCCUGAGAGGGUGACCGGCCACAUUGGGACUGAGAUACGGCCCAGACUCCUACGGGAGGCAGCAGUGGGGAAUAUUGCACAAUGGGCGGAAGCCUGAUGCAGCAACGCCGCGUGCGGGAUGACGGCCUUCGGGUUGUAAACCGCUUUCGCCUGUGACGAAGCGUGAGUGACGGUAAUGGGUAAAGAAGCACCGGCUAACUACGUG